rnacentral:rRNA from 1 species
UAGGGUGCGAGCGUUAAUCGGAAUUACUGGGCGUAAAGCGUGCGUAGGCGGCUUUGCAAGACAGAUGUGAAAUCCCCGGGCUUAACCUGGGAACUGCAUUUGUGACUGCAUGGCUGGAGUGCGGCAGAGGGGGAUGGAAUUCCGCGUGUAGCAGUGAAAUGCGUAGAUAUGCGGAGGAACACCGAUGGCGAAGGCAAUCCCCUGGGCCUGCACUGACGCUCAUGCACGAAAGCGUGGGGAGCAAACAGG